CCUACGGGGUGCUGCGGUGGGGAAUAUUGGACAAUGGGCGAAAGCCUGAUCCAGCCAUGCCGCGUGUGUGAAGAAGGCCUUCGGGUUGUAAAGCACUUUCAGUGGGGAAGAAAGCCUUGGGGCUAAUACCCUCGAGGAAGGACAUCACCCACAGAAGAAGCACCGGCUAACUCCGUGCCAGCAGCCGCGGUAAUACGGAGGGUGCGAGCGUUAAUCGGAAUUACUGGGCGUAAAGCGCGCGUAGGCGGUCUGAUAAGCCGGUUGUGAAAGCCCCGGGCUCAACCUGGGAACGGCAUCCGGAACUGUCAGGCUAGAGUGCAGGAGAGGAAGGUAGAAUUCCCGGUGUAGCGGUGAAAUGCGUAGAGAUCGGGAGGAAUACCAGUGGCGAAGGCGGCCUUCUGGACUGACACUGACGCUGAGGUGCGAAAGCGUGGGUAGCAAACAGGAUUAGAUACCCGAGUAGUC
rnacentral:rRNA from 1 species